CAAUUAACCAAAUGGAAACUGCGCAUAAUAAUGACAAAACCACACAUGGUGCUCCACUGAGGGGGAGAGGGACACUCCCAAUAAUCAAUACCUCCAAAGGGAGCCAGGCACACACGUCACAGUGUACACAGCUUUUAAUGGAACAAAGUUACAGAAUGUUUUCACUCCAUCACAGAGUCUUUUCCAAGUUACAGUUUCUGCAGAAAACACACGUGCAUUUAUAGAGUUAAAAGAAUUACUUAAAGCGUCGCAAUCAGCCUAAAGAUCACCCCAGGUCUCUCUGUAGCAGUUUCCUAAGGAGACAUCCAGAAUUAUCCCAAUCACAAUGAUAAUUGUGACACAGCCUUCUAAAUACACUUUUGACUGCCAUCGCAAAGUCUGUGUCAUUGGCCACCAUGUG